GGUCGUCUGCCCGGUGCGUUGAUCUACUAAUUCCCUGGGGCCAAUGCAUAUUACCCGGGAGCUGUCCCUGGCGGGGGUGUGCCCUCGUUAUUACGGCGCCCACCUGCAAAAGCAGGUCACGGUGGAAUGCGUAAUGGUUGACGGCCAUGGCGGUGCCGC
rnacentral:other from 1 species